rnacentral:misc_RNA from 1 species
UUUUUUUUUUAAUUUUUUUAAUUUACUCAUUUCUUGUUUUGUUGUCAUUAUUUUCUCGGAUCUGUUACGAGUCGUUUUUGACCCGAACGAAAGCUUUCUUCUUUCUUUCUUCAAUGUCGUUGAAACUAUCGAAUUGAAAUUUCACUCUCUGUUUUCCUAAUUUCACGCUUGAAAUUCAUCUCCGAAUUCACACAGAAUUUGGAUUCCACGACAAGCGAGAAAAACGAAGAGCUUUGAUUCUCUCUCUCUAUCUCUCCCUCUGCGCCUCUUUUGGUCGGCUGUGUGUCUGCCUCAUUGCGUUAGGGUUUUCGAGAAAUGAAAUCUCCGCUAGGUAAGCUUCGAGGAUUUAAGCUUCACAAGAGCGAUGCUAAGGACAAAAGAGACCUUUUACCUUCCGCUCAGUUGGAUGAGCUCGCUGAAGCAGCCCAGGACAUGCAAGACAUGAGAAAUUGCUAUGAUAGCUUACUUUCUG